rnacentral:pre_miRNA from 1 species
AGGAGAAACAACAGUGGUGGCGGCCAGCUCUGGAGCCCUGGAAUCAGCUCCUGCAGUAACCACGGAGCUCUCAGUCUGCAGGGGCCUGGAUGCUCUGGGGGCGG